UCUACGACCACCAGCCAAGAAGAGACGGCCUAAUUUCAGUGAGGCUGAAGUAUACGCUCUUGUGACUGAGGUAGCCAAACGAAAAGAAAUGAUUUUAGGGAAGUUGGACUCAAGUAGUUGUACACUUCAACUCAAAAACCAUGCCUGGGGUGAAGUGUUAAAUGCGGUGAAUGCUGUUGGUAGAGUCACCCGCAAUGUUACUGAAAUUCGGCGGAAGUUUUCUGAUCUUCGUGUUAGCGUUAAGAAAAAAGCAGCACAAGAUAAGAAAUAUGCUGGUGGAACAGGUGGCGGCCCCCAAAUUGAAAUUACAUACACUGCAAUUGAAGAUGCAAUUCUUCAACUAUUAGAUCCAGCCUCUAUACAUGGGAUUCCAGGGGAUGUUGAAAGUGAAGAACCUAUUACUGGUAAUUCAGUCAAAAUAUUUUUCCAACCCCC